rnacentral:lncRNA from 1 species
GUUUCCUCACAUAAUCAGAUUUUGACUUGAAGGAAGGACUAAGAAGAGGACUUUGGUAUGUCCUGUCAAGUAAAAUAUUCAAGGUUUCAUUUGGAAGGCUGCCCAUGUAGAGAAUAGAUUCAAUCCAACUCAUUUCAACGCAGUCUUCCCUCACUAGUCCCAGCUCAGGAAAUCUCUCUUGCAUCAAUGGAACCAGCUCAUCAAUCCCACCAAGAAACGAGGCAUGAAAGGAAGCUAGAAUUGUUCUCUUCCCAUCUUCACUAGAAUUUACCCUUGUUAUUGUAAUUCCAGAGUAAAAUUCAUCUGGAAGCUCGGGUGCAACGGAUUGCCAACGAUGAACAAGCUUGGUCGCAUUUUGUUCCAAGGUCUUGUUGAUUGUGAACACAGUCACAGUUGGUGGAACCGAAACCAACUGUACUUUCCAUGCAACCACAAUUCCAAAGCUACCCCCACCACCACCUCGAAUGGCCCAAAACAGAUCUUCUCCCAUGGAUUUCCUGUCAAGAACUCUCCCGUUAACAUCAACAAGUUGUGCAUCAAUUACAUUAUCGAUUGCAAGACCGUAUUUGCGGAAUAAUAAGCCAUAACCUCCUCCGCUCAAGUACCCUCCAAUUCCAACAGUGGGGCAAAGACCAGCUGGAAAGGCAAGACUGUUGCUUCUAUUAGCAAUGUUGUAAUACAGUUCUCCUAGAACUGCACCUGAUUGAACCCAUGCAACUUUGUUUUCUACAUCAAUGUCAACUGAUCGUAGAUUAACCAUAUCAACAAUAACAAACGGGAGUUCAGAUACAUAAGAAAGACCUUCAAAAUCAUGGCCACCGCUUCGAGUUCUAAUUUGGAGACCAUGUUUUCUUGAACAAUAAAUUGUUGCUUGAAUAUGGGAAGCAUGGAGCGGUGUUACAAUGACCAAAGGUUUAGGGGUAGAUGGUGUAGUGAAUCUAAAAUUUCGAAUGGUAGCGUUCAAAACAGAAGAAUAGGAAGAAUUAUUUUGUGUGAGGAUAACUCUAGAAAUGGAAGAGGAGUCGUUGGAUUGAAGAGAGAGGCAAUCAAGAAAAGUCUCAUUAGCAUGAGCUGAAGUUGCCCAUAACAAUGAGAAGAGAGCGACGAAAAGAAAUGAUGAAGACAUUGAAAAGUGAAGAGAUUUCAUAUUUUUGAAAGUGAUGAUUUUCGAAACUGAUGGUUUUGUGCAGAGUUUGUAAAGGGCUCCCCUAUUUAUAGAUUUACAUAACCAAAGGGGGAUGCUUUGAGCCGCAAAAAUGCAUUGGAAUAGAAGUUUCUUCAAACGCGGAAUGAGUUUGGAAAAGGGAUGGCGGUCAAUAUAACAUGUUGAUCUAUAUGUCAUCAAUUCCUUAAGAAAAUCUUCAUCAUAAGCGGUGAUGGCAUUGGGGGAUUUGACGCACUCAAACUAAAAUUGCCUUGACUUUUAUAAUUUGAUGAAAUUGGUAAAUGAAAAAAAUUCUCCCAUUGGGUUUUAAGCAGCAAAAGCAUGUGAAUAGAACCGAAUUUAAUGACUCUUUUCUUAGUUUUCUCGACCGUCACAUAUAAAUAAAUAAACAAAUAUUUUUUUAAAAAUUUUUUUUAUCUCUUUCAAAGAGGAUAGUAAUUUAUUGAUCUUUGCCAUCCUGAAAAUCCAAUUUGCUAUUCCAAUAAGAUGACAAUUUGGCCUAAAUUGUCAUUGAAAAAUCUACAUUCUACGGGAUUCCAAAUGGCAUGGAAAGGGUAAAAGCUUCGUGGGAACACACCCUUAAGCAUUCUUCCACAGUAAAAUGAUAUUUUUAUUUCAUGCCACAGGUUCUUUUACUUUUUGUACAAUCUUACAAGUCUUAAUUUAGAAUUUUCAAAUUUAUGAAUGAAGGUCAUAUAAUCACUAAUUUUGAUCAAUAGUUAAGCAAUCGAUGUGGGAAAACCUACGGACUCAUUUGGUUUGGGAAUUAUUGUUAUAAGUGGGGUUAAAAUGUUUUUUACAUGUCCAUUUAUUUCAGUAGAUUUGAUAUUAGAGCUGAUUUUUGAAAAAUGUGAGCUUUAAGGAGUUUAUACAUUUAAUAUUACUAGACAAAUAUAACGACACAGAGAGUUUAAAGAUGUAUUAGAAAUUUCAAAAAAAAUUUCCGUUUAAUUUAUUUCUCUUUGUCUCAUAAAUAUUAUGAUUUUAUUUUAUUUUAAAUAUAUUAUUAAUUAAAACAUGAAAAAAAAAAUCUAAACACUUUAAAUGAAAAGGUUUUCAAACACAGUUUUGUAUAAAAAAAAAGUAAUUUAAUGUUUAAAAGAUAAAUAAUCAAAUUAAAUUGAAAAAGUUCAAGCGAGAAAGGUGACGGAAAUAAUUUUAUCUUUUCAUGGAUAAGCCAAAGGACAAAUUUCUCAUAAGACAGGAGGUGGGUUGUUCCCAUGGAAGACCCAUUGCUUGGACGAUGUGCUUGCUAUUAUUUUCAACCAUUUCUAGAUUUCUUGUUUUUAAGGUAAAAGUUUGAGCCUACAACAUAAAACCUCCGACUUUCAUGUUGAUUUCCUUUUUGUUUUACUAUAUAUUUUGGCAAAAUAAAAUUCAACAAUUACUGGCGGUCUAGAUUGGGCAUAAUUCUGGGAACAAAAAUUAACUACUAGUACGUGCUAAUAUUGAAAUAUAUUUUUUGUUCUAUAAGAAAAAAGAAAGUAAAAAAUUAGUAAAAUUAAAAAUAAAAUGAAAAUUUAUUAUUUUUUUUUAAAAAAAAAAGACUAUUUUUUUAACAUUAAUAUAUAUAUAUGUGACAGUAAAAUACUAAAACUAUGUUCACGAAUCAUUUAUAUCAUUAUUAAUAAUUUAUAUGUACCAAUGCACAAAAUCCUUCUCUUUUAAAAAUAAAUUUACUAUUGUGAACCAAAUUUGGAAUUUUCAUAUAUAAGACAAAACAUAAAUAGGUAAAUAAAUAAUAAGUAAAAAAAAGGGAAGUUAAAAAAGAUAAAAUUUGACAUAUUCAGUUGAAAACCGCGUAGUAAAUGCAGUUGGGAAUAAAUAUAACUUGUAGAGAAAGGUUUUUUUUUUUUUUUUUGCCAAUGAAAGACUUGAAGAUAGACUUUACUAAAAGUCUUAAUCAGAAAAUUCUAAAUGUGACUUUCUACUUUCCAUUUGAGGAAAUUAAAUUCAACAUAUUUGACACUAUUAAAUUCUUUCAGGCUACAUAUUUUAUCUGAUUUUAUUAAGUUCUUGACUUUAAUUCUUCUUUAAAAUGAUUGUAUUUAUAAAUUAGUUAAAACCAUAUCAUAUCAGGCAUGACUUAGUCUAUUGCAUGAAAAAGGUUUGAUUUUUACUAAAAAGACCUCUGGAUAAUUUUAAAGCAAAUUCCUGCGCAUUGCCUUCAUUGACUUUUUUUUUCCCCUCGAAGAAAAUGAAGAUGAAUAUCCAAAGACAGUGAACCUACUCAUCAUCAAACUACGGUAAAAAACUGGAAAAAUGAUCUUAGAUAUGAUGGAAAAUCUGUGUCCCUCAAAUUUCAUUUUAUCUUUUCAGAGUUGUUUUAUCCAUAGACGCGAAAACCCAAAUCAUUAAGAAAAAUCAAAACGGAAAAUACUCAGAAGUUAUUUUAUUUUUAGAGGAAAUUUUCAUUUCCGACAUAAGAAUUUUAAAAUCUUCAAAAUUUCAACAAAAACUAUUAUCGGUAAAUUUUAAAAGAAAAAAAAAGAAAAUUCUGUUGAUAAUUUAAAUUUUCGACAAAAAUUAGGCUUUUUUGAAAUAAUUUUCCAUCUCUAAAUGCUUUAUCUCUUUUAGUUUAAAUAAAUUAAUUACAUUCUUGUGUAUUAGCUUCUUUAUAAAUUAUAAACAUAGUGAGGGAUGACAACAGAUCACCAUCGAGAUGAUAACGGACCAUUAUAUGGGUAGGUAUGAAACUUUUCGUCCCCAUAUCUGAUUAUGUUACUUGACUCGUCUCCAUUUUGAUAUUUGCUAAGUAGUACUUUCAUGUAUGUCUUUGUAUAUGAUAAGUAAACCCGAACUUGCCUUGAAUGAUCGAUUAUGAAAAGUUUGAUAUGUGCUGUUCAAAAUUUGCAAGUAAAAAGAAAAUAAUGAAAUUUAUAUAUAUAAAAAAAAAAAAACUCAUGAGAAAACCCAUCUUUAUUGAAACCUAAAAAUGUAAAAGUAAAAAUAAUAAAAUAAUAAAAUACCUAAAAUUUAACUGUACUAAAAUUUUAAUAAAUUUGUUUAAAAUUCAUAUCUUAAAAAAAUUACAAACAUAAUUUUUUUUUGAAAAACUCUAACAAACGCCCAUAAACAUAAAUACAAAAAUUCAUAAAACAUCACUUAUAAUGAAAUCAAUUGCAUCAUCCCACGUAAGAGAAGCAACACAAAGGGCUUUAGACUUUUAUCUCUCGUAGAGUUUAGGGUUUAGGAAUUUCUAAGAUGAGUAUUCGAACAAUGAAAACAUAAGGAAAAGGUAAAGGAAUUUGAUGCUCAUCGAUGGCGGUGACAACUUUUAAGUUUUGAUUUAAAAUGGUAUUUUGUGAAAAAUGGAGAGUCAAAACAAAUGACAACAUCAAUGUUAGAUUGGAUGCAACACUCCUUUGUAGACAAAAGGAAUUAGAAUUGGUGAAAAAUAAUGAGAGAACAUUGAAGGCCAAAGCAUCGUGCACUUUAAGCAAGGAAGAUCAAAAAGUAGUGUCAGCUUAGUGAAAUAGCUGGGACUUCUUGCUCGGUUGAACGUAGCUUAGUGUUCUAACAUUGAGGAGGGAAGUUUCAUGAGAUGAAAAGUCAUGAUUAUCAUAUUUUUAUGUAGUGGUUGUUUUCAAUUGCCUUUCAUGACUUGUUACCUAUUUCAAUUUGCAAUGCAAUAAUUGAGCUACCUUAUUUCCUUAGAGAUAUUUGCUCAAUUGAAUUACACAUACAUCAGAUGAAGAUAAGGAGUAAGAUGAAAAUGAGAAGGAAGAUGAAGAUGAUUAACAUGAAAUUUUUGAUAAUGAAUAGUGGUUAAUUAAUUAUGUGUAUUUAACUUUAUUAUUUGUGAUUUUGCUUGAGAUAUAAUACAAUAUGUUAUAUUUUUAUUUUUAGAUAUUCAUGUAUUCAAAUAGGCUUGAUAUAUGUUACUGAAUUGUGUUGUUACUGCUUAAAUAUGUUGUUGAAUAUAUAUUUUUUAUUUUCUUAAAUCUAAUUUGAUUAUUAUUUCUGUUAUAUUUUAUAGUUAUAAUGCCUCAAGGAAAGGUUUUUAACAAAUUAAAAGUUGGAAUUGGAUCUACAUAUGCAUUGAGGGCACUAUUCCCUAAUCUUAAUCGUUUGAGACUCUGCCAGUACACCUUUCAUUCAUAAAACACCAAGUGGUCGAGCCUUCACCCAUAAACCAUCUAGCAAUAGAAAACCCUUCCUUUGAGGCUCUACCACUGGGAUUCCACCCACAUAUCACUUUACACAGAAUAUCCCAUCUGCUAAGCAGCAAUCCUCCAACCUUGUUAAUGUUGUUUAGAUCACUGCACGUGAGUUGACCUCAAGAAAACAAACAAGAGGGUUUAAUCAAUGUUUACCCAUGCCUUAAAUCCAGAGGACAAAUUGCCGAUUAUUUGUUUACAAAAUAGGUUAGGUGUUAAUAAAUUAUUUACUUUAUUUGUUUAUUCAUUCGAAUAAAAAUAUUAUUAACAUUAAGAUGACAACUAUUUUGUUAAUAACUUAUAAAUGGCACUUUUUUGGAACCCACAAUUGUCUGAACAAUAAAGUAAUUGAUUAAAGAUUACUAUAACAAAGUGUGGUCGACAUGAAGGAAAGUUCUUUUGAAUGUGAAGACGAGCAUGUGGGAGAAAUUUUAGGUAUUUUAAACUGUCUUAACAAUUUUAAUAUUUUCCUUUAAAUAUGUUAUUAACAAUUUUUUUAUUUACUUUUAGGAAAAGUGCAUAUAGUUUCUAAAUAUACGUGCUAGCUUAUGACAUAUGGCAAGCAACAUGUAAAACAUAGUUUAAAGACAUGAUGUAAUUUGAAAAAAAAGAAGGCAAUGGCAUUUUUUGACGCGAACAAAAUGGUAGACUGCAAGGGUUAUAAUCAAUCCAUGAUUAUUCUAAAGUUCUGGAUGAGCUCGUUGAAAAAGAGUGAAGUACAUAAGCAUGACAGCAUUAUUCUUAUAAAGAAGAGAAUAUCAACUAACAGAGAAAGAAGGAAGAAUCACAAAGCACAUAGGUGGUUUAACACAUUUUCAGGUUCAUGCACACAAAUUGAUGAUACCUUUUAAAUUGUUAUAUUUUACAAUGUUUAAUUCUAUGUUUUUUUUUAUUAUUUAUACUGUAACUUGUUUUUUUAAUCAAAUGCUUGCACAAAAGCUUUAGCUAUUGCCUACAUAUAAUGAACUUUUCGAUCAUACCCACGUGCGUUUAGGCGAACAUGGUGAUUUUAUGGACAAUAAGUCCAAAGCUGUUAGUGUAAGUGAAAAUUACUUUAUUUAUGAUUCAUUUUAAUAUUUUCAUCAUUACUACAAUUUUUUUUGUCAUGCUUCAUUUUAAGCAAUGUGAAUCAUACACUUGUAGGAAAACUAUGCUUUUUCUAUGAAUUAGAAAUAUGAUGUAGGCCACAUCUGUUUAUCUUGAGUUCAGUCCAUAAGCCUGGUGCCAAGUAAUUGGACGGUUGCAAACCACAGACACCCAUAUCUAUGGAUUUGGGACGAGGCCAUGUGCAAUAGAAAUAUUUGGCACACCCUCCUUCUUAUGUGGUGGCUUAUCUUACUCAACUUAUGUUCUUACAAACUUCAUUUCCAAUGUUAUUUCAUUCGCCGAAGUUGAUGAUCUAAAAGGGAAAAAUGAUAGAUAUGCAAGACCAACUCAAGGAAACGAGUCAAUUAUAAGAUGAAAUGAAGAUGGUUUUGUUUAAUUAAAUGUUCAAAGAUGGUCUGUUUGCUACAUCUGGAUAUGUUUAACGCGAUGACAGUGGAUGACAAGAUCCAAGAGGAAGUGCUCAAUGAGAUAUUGAUCUCUUUCAUUAUUUGUUUUCUAUUGCAUGCAUAAUAUGAUGAAGUAACAAAUAAUCUUUUUCGUUAUGGACAUUUGUGCUAUGUUUAAGAAUGCUUAUGGAUAGUUAUGAAUGAUUAUGGUUGUUCAUAAAUGUUUUCAAGUCUAUUAUAUAGAUAUGACGUGAAUGUUUAACUGUUGUAUUAUAUACUUGUAUUAUGAUUUAUAUAAAUAAAUUUCAUAUGAUUUGUAAUUAGUAAAUUGGAUUAAUUGUUAAAAAGAUCGAUCCUUUUAAAGAAUGAUUGAUCUUUUAUGAAUAGGGAUCGAUCCUCAAUCAUGAAGGACUUAUCUAUGAAAUUCCAUGGAUAAAUUAGGUAUAAUUAGUGAUGAAAUAGUGAGUAUUAGCGAUGGAAAUUUCAUUACCAAUAAGUUUUAGCGACAAAAAACCAAAUAGGAUCGAUCCUUAUUCAUUAAGAAUGAAUCCCAAAAAUACCUUUUAGUGAGGGAAAUUUUCAUAACCAAUAAGUAUUAACAACAAAGGAUCGAAUUUGGAAAACCUAACAAAUACUUUUUAGUGACAAAAAUUCCAUCAUCUGUUGCUAAAGAUCUCUAGUGACGGAAUUGUAAAAUCAUUGCCAAUGACUAUUUCUGUUGCUAAUAGUUUUAGUGAUGGAAUUGCAAAUGUUUUUUAGAAAUAUUUAGAAAAAAUAACUUUUAGCGACGAAAAUUUUCAUCACUAAAAAUUUUUUACGACAGAAUUAUAAAUUUUAUUUUUGUAAAAGAAAUAAAAGCAUAAUUACUUUUAGCAAUGGAAAGUUCCCAGUGACAGCAUGGGAGCGACAUGGUAGUGGUUUACUGGAAACUAGAUUUGGCAAUUUUCAACGAAGGGUUUCGAUUUUAGAGAAAGAGACUCUAAAGGGGAAGAGAAAGGGAGAGAAAGGAAAAAAAAAAAAGUAGAUUUAGCCUUUUUAUAGGAUGGCCAAAAUGAUGAUGUUUUAGGUGUCAGGCUCGCGCUCGACCUACCAAAGAUUUGCAUGUAAACUCAUGCAGGAUCCCGCUCAUUUGUAAAUUUUUUCUUUUUCUUUUUCCAUUUUCUUUUUAUUUUAUAAUUUCAUUUAUAUGUUUUUAGGAUUUCUUUUAUUUAUUUUUAUAUUUUGAAAAGUCUAAAUACAAUAAUAAGAUUAAAUGAUUAUUAUGAGUAAUAAUAAAAUAUAAAUCAAAACAACUAGUAAUUUUUACUAAAAAUAUAAAAUAUAAAAAAUGAAAAAUGAUUAAAUUGUAAAAAAAUUUAAGGAAAAUGGAAAGAGCUUUACUUUUCCUUAAUUUUUACAAGUAAAAAUAUCUCUUGAAUUUCAUCUAAGUGUUGGGAUUAUUCAAGAAAUUAUUUUUGCUAAAGAGUAAAAAUUUAAAAAUAAUAAAUAAAAUAAAUAAUUGAUUAUUUGAAUAAAUCUUUUAAGGUGUAAUUUUCUUAAUGAAAAUUGAAAAAAUUCAGUUUUCUUUAAUUAUUAUAAAUAAAAAUAUUUUUUAGAUUUCAUCAAAGAGUUGGGAUGAUCUAAAAAUUAUUUCUACAAAAUAAAGGUUUAUUUAAAUAAUAAAAAAUAAAUGAAAACAAUGAUGAAAAAUGAUAAAAUAAAAAUAAUAAAAAAUAAAUAACAAAGAAUUAAUUAAAAGCUUAAUUUGAUUAAAUCUGAAAAGUAAAAAUUUUAAGAAAAAUUAGAAGAGUCUUAUUUUUCAUAAUUAUUAUCAAGAGAAAUGGUUUUUUUAGAUUUUGUCAAAGAGUUGGAACAAUCCUAAAAUCAAUUUUGUAAAAAUUAUAAUAAUUAAAAAAUAAUAAAUAAAAGAUUUUUCAUAGUUGGAUUAUAAUUGUGUAAAUCACAUGAUUCAUUUGUAAGUAAAAAAUAUCUUAUGUUGAAAUUUCGGGAGUUUGUGAACGAUCAAUUUUUUUAAAAUUUUUUGAAUAAAGUUAUUUUCUAUAAAUUUCACUAAAGCAUUAGAGAAUUUAUAGAAUGUGAAAAUAAUAAUAAUUUCAUAAUAAAAAUAAUUUUCAUGAAUAAAUUUUUAAGGAAUUAAUUUAAAUAUCAAGAAGACCAUAUUAUCAAAAUGAAUAGACAAUACAUGUUUAAUUGGUACCAUUUUUUGAACGGUUGAUAUGAAGGUACUAAUACCUUUUUCUCUCGUAACUAUACUCUCAGACUCAACUCUGAUUUCGUAGACCUAACUAUUUUUUUAGCAAACCUUAAUUAAUUUUGAGGUUUUUAUUAAUCGAUGAUAUUUUAGUUGACCAAUCACAUCUAAUAAAAAAGAUUGGUGAUAACUCCGUAAAUUUCUAUUAAGUCUGGUGAUCAAGUUCCUUUAGAUAAAUAAUUGCUAUGAUAGCUUGGUGACUUCACUUGGAAGGCUUUAGAGUCAAGUCAAAAUUAAGUACAUGUCAUCCAAACGUUAAUUUAAUGGUCUUUUCGAUAUUUAAUUUUAAUUCCUUAUUUUAUUAAAAUUCAAAAAAAUUUUAAUACUUUAUUAUUUAAUUCUUGUUAUUUUUUAUAAUUAAUUAUGUUAUUUUGUUUAUUUGUUUCAUAUUGCUGUUAAUUAUGAAAUAUUUAUAUUGUGGACUUUGUUUUGUUUAAUAAUUGUUAUGUUCCUUUACACACGUACAUAUUGGCAUUCAUGCACAAGCUUUAUACUUGGACUCCUAAAUCUAUCUGUUUAGGAGGGAGUAGAAUAUCUAUACUUUGUGAGGUUAUAAUAUCUCUGGUUGGACUAGCGAAAUAUUUUCACUCAAGUUAAAUAUUCUUCAUCAGUAGCUUGUUGUAGGUGAGGAUCGGGGGUCUUACUAAUCUAGAGUGGACAACAGUAAUGAUCAAUUUGGGAAUUUUUUAGUCUUUGCUAAAUUCCAAACCCUAUAUAUAGUGAACCUUAAGAAACCAAUCUUAGAUAGAGUUGUACCAUUUUUGUAGAUUAUACUAUAAAUUAGAACACAUUAGGGAACCUUAGAUAUUCUUUGUUAGAGACUGUUAAUAAAAGUGAUAAAAUAGAAAAUUCUCUACACUUUCUUGUCUAUACUGCAUAAUUAAUUGUAAAUUUCUUGGUGUUUGUGUAAAGUUUCUUUUAAAAAUGCAAAAAUAUAAUAGUUUGCAUUAUAUUAUCAUUUUCAUAUUGCAUUUUCAAAGGUUGAAUUCUUCGAUCUUCCUAAGAAAUAAAAGGAAGAAAUUUUUCCUUCUCUCACAAAAAAAUAAAAAAUUUGUUAUUUCAUUUAUUUCGUUUUCUAAAAAAAGGAAUAGAUUUUUUUCUUUCAUCAAAAAAUGCAAAAAAAAUUUUGAAAAUAAAAAACUUUUAUUUUUUUUAUUUACAUAACUUUUUUUUAUUAUUCUUAUAAGUUUAAUCAACAUUGCCUUUGCUUGUUCAAUUUUAGUAUUUUCAAGGUUUGUUUCAAAAUAAUGCUACAUUGAAAAAGAAAAAAAAAGUAAAAAUAAAAAAUCUUGCUUGUGUAAUCCAAAAAAAGAGAGGUGUAAAGAAAGGCUUGUCUGUUAUUAGUCGAAUAAGGUAAAAAUAACAAAUAUAAGGUUUUAAGUUUGAAAUCCUUUAUUUUUAUUUCUUCUGCAUUUGUGAAUAAUGUGAUUUUCAUAUAUGUUGCAUUUGGUGUGAAUAUGUCUAAUCGUUAUACAUUUGCAACACCAUUGUUAAUAUUGUUGCAUUUCAUGUGCACCAUUAAUCUUGCAUAUAUGUUACCCAUCGUUGUAAAUAUUGUCACUUUUCAUGAACACUAUCAAUCAUGCAUACACAUAUUUUAUUGUUGUAAAACUUGUAGCAUUUUAGGUGUACCACCGAUCAAGUUAGCAUACAUGUUUGAUCUUUAUGAAUAUUGUUACAUUCAAUCCCGAUAAAGAAUGGUACAUCUAUGGCUAUUAAUGUAUGCUUUAAAGGGUAACUUUUUAAAACUUUUUUCUACAUAAAACAUAAAGAAAAUUUUGAAAGAUUAUCUUUUGUUUUGCUUUUCUUAUGCAUCUCAUGAUUUUUCAUGAUAUUUCCAUUUUUGAUGCAUCAAAUUUGAAAUUUGACACUAAUGAAAGAGACUUUUCUUGUUUAGUUUGGAUUUUGUAUAUAUUUAACAUUAUACUUUGGCAUUGCAUAAAUAAAUUUUUGAAAAAAGUAGUAUAACGAUUCUCUAUUUGUAAAAAGAUUAUUUGGAAUAAAAGCCCUACGUAGUUUAAUUUAUGGAUCAUAGGAAUAAGGCAAAUGACAUCAAAACAAAAAAUAUUUUUUGUGAGUUUCUGAAUAAUUAGUGAUGACUAUUGGAAAUGAAUCUACCUAGAAAUCAUUCAUUUCGUCAAAUGCUUUCUAAUUCAAAUCCCAAAUAAGUCUAAUAUUUUGAGGGGCAUAAGUUUGUGCUUCAUGAACCUAGUUCUCACGAUACCUAAAAGCCAAGCUUUAUUUUGGGCAAUGAACAAAAGAGACUAGUUUUGAAAAAUCAUUUUGAAUAUUGGAAAUCAAGCAUGAGACUCUUUCAAAUUUUUAAUUGGUAAUUUAGUAUGUGUCAAAAUUUUAUUGAAAUUAUUGAACUAUCCAAAUUCUUUUGAUGACCAUAAACAUGAUAAAUGCUUAAACUUUUCCCUUAAGUAGUUUUUGUCUCAUGUUUUAAAGUACAGUACCAAAAAGCAAAAUUUCUUGUUGCCUAAGACAGUUUAUCUCAUGCCAUGAUACCUUUUCCCUAAUACUUGCAUAAAUAUGCCAAAGUCUUUUUAUGCAUUUUGCAAUGAAAUUUAAGAGAUCUCAUGCAACAUGACUUUCAUCGUCAUAUGAACUCUUAUUUGAGUGAGUAAACAAGAUGAGGGUAACAAAAAGAAAAAACCAAAAACAAAAAAAAAAGAUGAAUGAAAAAUAAAAAAAUAAAAAAAGCUUUUUUUAUCCACUUCUUCAAUAACUUGCUCUUCAAUUUAAGUGGUCAUGUUUGGAAUGAUGAAUAAUCAUCCUUUUUUAUCUUCACAUAUAGAAGAUUAUCCAUUUGCUACCUAUUUAAACCAAUUAAAAUUUUCUUUUCAAAAUUGACCCUUGUGAAAGAUCAUCCUCAACGUUAGAAAACAAAAUAAAGACAUUUCAAAGAUUAUGGGCAUUACAGCCCAACUUCAAGGAAAAAUGCCUUUUAUUAAAAUCUUUUGACAUGUAUCUUAGAGAUGGAAUUUGAGGCAAAAAGUGAAUGAAUUAAGUUUCAAGUUAGAAUCUCAAGUGAAAAAAAAGAUGAAAUUCAAGAAAGUAGAAUACUGGGGUUGAUGUUGAAUGUUUUCAAAAAGAGAAAGCAAAGAACGAAAGAGACACAUAUCUUUUCAUUCAGAAGAAUGCUCUGUAAGAAAUUACACAAUCUUUGGCCUAAUUAGCCUUCAAUAACAUAUUUUGGGUCUAUUUAUCCAUUCUUUCAGAUCCCUUAACCUUAGCUUGCAUUAUAUACCUUGAAAAGUCUAUUUUGAUCAAUUGUGGACACUUAAAUUGAAGAGCUAUGUCUUUGAAAAUUUGUAUAUACCCGAUAUUGAUUGGAGAGAUUUUAUUAAGUCCCCCUUUGUUUAGAGCUAGAAUAAUUGUUCUUGAUGCCUCAGAAGAAUUCCAGAGUUUCCAAGGUUUUAUCUAAAAAAGAAAUUCAUGAUACAAAACCUUUUAAGAGAUCAAUACCCAUUAAAAACUUUACAUCUCCUAAAAAAGUGAAAAUCGAAAGCCAAAUCUAUUUCUUUUCCAAAUCUUUGUGAAAAUAAUGGUUGGUUUUGAUGCACAUUGAAGUAUCAUGUUAAAGAACUAAAAGAGUGCUAAGCCAUACUUGAUUUUCAAGAAAAGGAAUUUUGAAUCCAAUCGAAAUAAGGAAUGAGUAAUUCCUUUUUCACCGUAGCCUUUGUCAAGCCUUUCUUGAGAUAUACCCACCAGUGAAAAGAGUUGAAUUGUCAAUCACCUCAUCCAUGAGCAUUCCAAAUUAUAGUCACCAAUUUUUAAGGGACUCAAAAGUCAAUACACUUUAGAUAUUUGAUUGAUCUUGAAAAUUAGGUGGGGCAAUUUUAUGAUUAUUUUGGCAUUUUUUAUGUGAGGAAUAAAAUUUUAAAUGAUGAGAAUUUAAACAGAGAUUUUUUCUUAAAAAAUAAAAAGGAAACAAAACAAAAAAUUAAUGCAUUUUUUUAUGAUAGUCAAUUAUUUACAUUUGCAUUAUUGCAUCUACAUCGCAAUAAAGACAUUCACAUCUGCACCAUUUGCAUUUGCAUCAUGAAAAAGAUAUUUGCAUUUGCAUCAUUGCACCUGUAUUAUGAGAAAAAUAUUUGCAUUUGUAUCAUUGUAUCUGCAUCACAACAAAGACAUUCACAUUUUUACCAUUGCAUUUGUAGCAUGAAAAAGACAUUCGUAUUUGCAUUAUUGUAUCCGUAUCAUAACAAAACAUUCAUAUUUGCACCUUUGCAUCUACAUCAUGAGAAAGACAUUCGUAUGUGUAUCAUUAGAUAUGCAUUAUUGAAAAGUAUUUAUAGGAGCAUCUAUAUAAAAAGAACAUUGGCAUCUGCAUCAUUGUAUUCGCAUAUUUGUUAAGCAUUUUGUUAGGUACAUUUUAGAAAAGAAUUUUGAAUCAGUAAUAAUUUGUAUUGGUGUAGAGAUAUUCACAUUUUCACCAUUUAUUUUGAGAUUAGACAUUUACAUUUGCAAUUUUACAAACAUUGAGAAAAAAAUAAGAAAUAUCAAUAUUCUUUUGAGUUUUGAAAACAAUAAAAAAAAUCUAGGCUUAAGGUUUUAAUUGAAAAAAAAAAAACUUUUCUAAGAUAAAAUUUUGUUAGAGAUCAAAUGAGGCUUUAUCUCAAGGUAUUGUCAUUAAAGCUUCUAAGUACCAAUUUUGAAAACCUUCAAUGUCAUUUUCUAAAACCUUAGCACAUAAUUUCAAAGUCCUCUAGAUAUAAUUUCUAACUCCUCCAAACAUAAUUUUAAAGUCCUCCGGGCAUAAUUAUAAAGACUUCCACGCAUACUUGUAAAGACCUUCAAGUAUAAUUUUAAAGUCCUCCAGACAUAAUUACAAAGUCUUCUGAGCAUAAUUACAAAGUCCUUUAAGUAUAAUUUCAAAGGCCUUUGAACGUGAUUUAUAAGACCUCUGAAGAUGAUUUUAAAAAUUUAUGGGUACAAUUUUCAAAUUUUUUUUCAAAAGUACCAUAGCUUUUGGUUAGAGGAGUUUAUAAAAAAGUUUUGUAGUUUGGUUAGAAGAGUUUUUAAAAAGUUUCAUAGCAUUUAGUGAGAAGAGUUUUUAAAGUUUCAUUGCCUCUAGUUAAAAGCAUAGUAAAGUACCAUAGCCUUUAGUUAGAAGAGUUCGUAAAGUACCAUAACCUUUUAUGGUGAUAUCUAAGUAUUCAAGAUUGAAUUUCAUUAAAACUUUCUCAAUGGUGAUAUCUGAAUAUUCAAGAUUGAACAUUUAUUAAGACUUUCUCUAUGGUGAUAUCAGAUAAUCCUUUGGUGGUGAUAUUUAAGUCAUUUUACAUUUCCUCGAUGGCGAUAUUUGAAUCUCUAUAGAGGAAUGUUUCAAUUCUCACUACCUUUAGUUAGAGGAAUCCUUCAAAAUCAUCACCUUUGAUUAAAGGAAUCUUCAAAGUCUCAUUGCCUUUGGUCAGAGGAGUUUUCAAAUAUCGUAGCCUCUGGUUAGAGGAAUUUUUAAAAUUUAAGGGCCUCAAAUAUAUGACUCUUUCAAAACUAGGCAUGAUUUGUAUGAACAACAUGCAUAAUCUAUAAAACCUUUGAAUCUUUUAAAGUUUUAUAGCCUUUAGUUAGAGGAGUUUAUUCAAGUAUCCUAGCCUUUGGUUAGAGGAGUUUUUUUAAAGUAUCAUAACUUCUAGUUAGAGGAAUUUUUAAAAAUAUUAUAGCCUCUGGUUAAAGGAGUUUUUAAAAUUUAAAAACUUCUAGGUAGAUGACUUUCAAAAUUAUGCAUGAUUUGUACACCAAAGGGCAUGAUCUAUAAAACCUUUCAGAAUUUUAAUUUCAAGUAUCAUUACCUCUGGUGAGAGGAGUUCUCAAGUAUCGUAGCCUCUGGUUAGAAGAAUUAUUUAAAGUCUCAUUACUUCUUAUUGAAGGAGUUUUUAAAGUGUCAUAGACUCUGGUUAAAAAAGUUUUCAUAGUAUCAUAGCCUCUAGAUAGAUAAGCUUUUUAAAGUUUAAUUGCCUCUUGUUAGAUUUAGUAAAAUUUAAUAAAAGCAAUAAAACCCUCAAAAAAUAGUUAAGAAAAAUUAAAAGAGUUCUAUUUUUCCUUAAUUUUUACAAGUAAAGAAUAUUUCCUAAAUUUCACCUGAGAGUAGGGAUAAUUUAAGUAAUUAUUUUUGCUAAGAAUAUUUAAAAAACAAAAAAAAAAACAAAAGGGAGAUAUACGUGUUUGUGUCGUUAUUUUGAUUUUUUGAUAUGUUCAUCCACACAAAAUUGUUGUCUUUUAGUGUUUGCCCUAUUACUGAUUCUCAAUAAUGUGCAAAGAGGAGCUGCUAUAGACACCUAAUUUUUUUUGAAUUGAUCGAAAUAGAUUCGAAUCUCAUUCACCAUUUUGAUGUGUUCAAUUAAAACUUAUUCAGAUAUUUUGAUCAUGUUUAUUAGGACUAAUUAUUAUUAUUAUUAUUUAUUGAUUAAUCAUUUUAAAAAAAGGUUAAAAAAAGAAGAAAAGUCAAAAUUUUUUCAAACUCUAGUAGCUAAAAUCAAGCUGCUAGAAAUUUUUUUCCUUAAAAAUUGAUGCAUUACUUGUUCCAAAUUCUAGCCCUUUUUCUUGACUUUGCAAGAUGAGAUUUCAGCAGCAAAAAUCUAUGCUGAAUUAUUCUUCCAUAAUCCGUUCAAACCUGAGAUUUGUUGGACAAAUUGGCUCUCUAUAAACGGAGAGUCAAAUUCACAAAACAAAAGAUAAAAAGAAAACAACACAAAGAGAUAGAGAGAGAGAGAGAGAGAAAAAAAAAGAAAGAGAAAGAGAAAGAGAAAAACAUAAAAAUUGAAUUUAUGACAGAUGUGAGAAAUUUUACAAAAAAAAUCCUACUGCCAUUUUGCCCGAAACCUACUAGAAACUCAGUACACAAAAUAAUAAAAAAAAAAACUAACCAAAAAAAGCUAUCACAUCCCUUAAAGGAACAUCCAUAGUAAGUUAAAAAAAAAGUUAGUAAUAAAAAAAAUCAAGCCAAGAAUAAAAUUUUUGAUCUAGGCCUUUAGGAUUUUUCCUUGAAAAACUAGCUUGAGAAAAGUGUUUAGAAGAUCAAAUGGAGUAUUUUGGGAUUUUUUUGAAAUUUUUUGGGCUUGCUAAAAUCUAGAAUAGUUUGAAUUUUUUGCAAUCAUAUGAAUUUUUUGACUAUUGAAAUCUAAGAAAUCGAUUGAAAAUUAGGAAAACUUUGAGUUUUUGAUGCUAGCUGAAGUUCCCGAUGAUAGCACAGUGAUGACAAGGUGGUAGCCACACGAAAACUAAGUUUGGGCGAUUUCCAGUGAAGGGUUUCAAUUUUAGAGUGAUAGGCUUUUAGGGGAAAAGAGAGAGAAAGGAAAAAUUAAAAAAAAAAAGAUUUAGCCAUUUCUAUAAGAUGGCCAAAACGAUGUUGUUUUGUUUGUCAGACCCAUGCACGACCCGCCAAAGAUCCAUAUGUAGACCCACAUAAGACCCAAUCCAUUUGUAAGUUUUUUCUUUUUCCAUUUUCUUAUUUCAUUUUUAUUUUUUUAAGAUUUCUUUUAUUUAUUUUUAUAUUUGAAAAUUCUAAAAAAAUAAUAAUAAGAUAAAAUGAUUAUUAUAAGUAAUAAUAAAAUAUAAAAUCAAAACCAAUAGUAAUUUUUACUAAAAUUAUAAGAAAUGAAAAUUGAUUAAAUUAUAAAAGAAUUAAGGAAAAUGGAAAUAGUUUUAUUUUUCUUUAAUUUAUACAAGUAAAAGUAUCUCUUGAAUUUUGCUUUAGUGUUGGGAUUAUUCAAGAAAUUAUUUUUGUUAAAGAGUACAAAUUUAAAUAUAAUAAAUAAAAUAAAUAAUUGAUUAUUUGAAUAAAUCUUUUAAGAUGUAAUUUUCUUAAAGAAAAUUGAAAAAGUUUUGUUUUCUUUAAUUAUUAUAAGUAAAAAUAUUUUUAAAUUUCACCAAAGAGUUGAGAUGAUCUAAAAAUUAUUUUUACUUAAUAAAAGUUUAAUCAAUAAUAAAAAAUUAAAUGAGUACAAUGAUGAAAAAUGAUAAAAUAUAAUUAAUAACAAAAUAAUAAAAAAUUCAUUAAAUGUUUAAUUCAAUUAAAUAUCUUGAGUAAUUAUUUUAAGAAAACUUAGAAGUCUCUUAUUUUUCUUAAUUAUUAUUAAGAGAAAUGGUUUUUUAGAUUUUGCCAAAGCAUUGUGAUAGUUUUAAAAUCAUUUUUAUAAAAAUUAUUAUAAUUAAAAAAUAAUAAAUAAAAUAUUUUUCAUAAUUGUUUUAUAAUUGUGUAAAUCACAUAUGUGAUUCGUAAAUAAAAAAUAUCUUAUGACAAAAUUUCAGAAAUUCUAUAAAUGGUCAAUUUUUUCUAAUUUUUUAAUAAAAAUGUUUUCUAUAAAUUUCGACAAAAUAUUGAAGAAUUUAUAAAAUAUGAAAAUAACAAUAAUUUCUUAAUAAAAAUGUUUUUCAUAAAUAAAAUUUUAAGGAAUUAAUUUUAAAUAUCAAGAAGACCAUAUUAUCAAAAUAAAUAGAUAAUACAUGUUUAAUUGGUAUUAUUUUUUGAAAGGGUGAUGUGAGGGUACUUAUACUUUUGUUACUCAUUACUAUACUUUUUGAACGCAAUCCUGAUUUUGUAAAAAUCUUAAUUAAUUUUAAGGCUUUUUUUUUUAAAUGAUAUUUUAAGUGAUCAAUUAUUUUUAGUAAAAAAAUAUUGAUGAUAACUCUGUAAAUUUUUAUUAAAUCUAACGAUCGAGUCCCAUCAGAUAGAAAAUCAAUAUGACAAUAUAAAAUAUAAAAAUAAAUGAUUUUCAAGUAAAUUAAAAUAAAAAACAAAAAAGUCUAAGAAAAAAAAUGAAAUAUUGGGGUAUCAUGAUCAAUAAUCUAAUACAGUGGCUCACUGAAUCUUUUUCCUUUGUCCAAAAGAAGUCUUAAUCUAAAAAAAUGGUAAUUCAAAUAUAAUUUAUGAUCAAAUUCAGUCAAAUCAACAUUAGGCCUUACUAGUUAGUAAUUAACAACUUGUUAAUGAUUAGAGAAAUUAAAUGCUACAAAAAAAUCGCAGUUACUUAUUGUUUAUGAGUAGUAGCUGGUUAAUAAUAUAAAUUAAAAAGACAUAUGAAAUUUGGCUUAUUAAACCGUAAAGAAAAGGCCGCCUAUACCUACGGGUGAAGUCGGUCAAGAACAUGUUGAUAAAAUCAAAAGCUCAAAAUCAAAGAUUGAAAGGCGAUUUAUCUACUUACUAUUUGGCCAAAUAUAAGUCAACAAAUAUAAUCAUUUCCUAAUUCUUUCACGCUAAAUCUGCUCCAACAUUAAUGUCACGUGAUUUUUUCUAAAUAAGAAGAUUUAAUUAAUUAAAUUCUUGACUUCAAUUUCUCUUGAAAAUGUCUGUUUCAAUUUAGGACAGAUGUGACUAUAGAUACCAGAAGCUAGUUCUAAUUCUGGGAGGGAAGGAAGAGUAAUAUUACACCUUACCUCUUAUUGUAUAGCCUAAAAUUCAAAGAUUUUUUUUUUGUUAUUAUAAAAAAAUCCAAUGUAAUUCUUCUUACGUACCAAAAAGAAAAUAUUCCUUUUUAUAUUACACAUUAUAUUAUUAAUUUGCAUACAAACUUUAGGAGAAAAAUUCAAUAAAUACAUAUGAUCUACAACUAAUUACAAAGCAAAGGUAAUUAAUGAUACAUUUAUCUAAAUAGUCAUACAAAGAAUCAUGCCAAAAUGCCUAUAAAAAAAACCUAAAAAAUUCUUUAUUUUUUUGACACAUUUUCCAAUUAAAUAUUUUUAUAAAAGGUUUAACUUCCAAAGGUUAUUAUGAUUUUUUUUUUCAAUUAAUAGAAAAAAGGAGGAAUACUUUGCUCAUGCCUGAAGAAGUUUUGUGGAUCAACAUUGGUCUUCACACGAACUAAUCUGUCAAAGUUGUUCGUGAAAUACUUACGACCCCAUAUGCUUGCUUGAGCGAAACUUGUGUUUCCUUCAUUAUUCAUUCCGAUGUCAAGAUCCCUAUAAUUGAUAUAGGCUUGCCUUGGAGAUUUUGAAACAAAGGAACCCAUGUAACUAUAAAGUCUCCGAAUCCAGCUUAUAUACCUUUCAGAUAUUAUAUUCUCUUCUUCUUGCCAUCCUGCGUUGUAUACGAUUUUGUAUAAGUUGCCAGCUCUAUGUGGGAAUGGAGUAGCAGUCGAUGGAAUUUCAUCCAUUAUGCCUCCGUAAGCAAUAAAACUUAUACUAGCAGAUGCUCCUUCUUCUUCAAAAAGUCUUGACCACAUCCCCUGAAAUCCAAUUUCAGGAAUGGGUCUCCUUACAUAAUCAGAUUUUGAUUUGAAGGAAGGACUAAGAAGUGGACUUUGGUAUGUCCUGUCAAGUAAAAUAUUCAAGGUUUCAUUUGGAAGGUUGCCCAUGGAGAGAAUAGAUUCAAUCCAACUCAUUUCAAUGCAAUCUUCUCUCACUAGUCCCAGCUCAGGAAAUCUCUCUUGCAUCAAUGGAACCAGCUCAUCAAUCCCACCAAGAAACGAGGCAUGAAAGGAAGCUAGAAUUGUUCUUUUCCCAUCUUCACUAGAAUUCACCCUUGUUAGUGUAAUUCCGGAGUAAAAUUCUUCUGGAAGCUUGGGUGCAACGGAUUGCCAACGAUGAACAAGCUUGGUCGCAUUUUGUUCCAAGGUCUUGUUGAUUGUGAAUACAGUCACAAUUGAUGGAACCGAAACCAACUGUACUUUCCAUGCAACCACAAUUCCAAAGCUACCCCCACCACCUCCUCGAAUGGCCCAAAACAGAUCUUCUCCCAUGGAUUUCCUGUCAAGAACUCUCCCGUUAACAUCAACAAGUUGUGCAUCAAUUACAUUAUCUAUUGCAAGACCGUAUUUGCGGAAUAAUAAGCCGUAACCUCCUCCGCUCAAGUACCCUCCAAUUCCAACAGUGGGGCAAAGACCAGCUGGAAAGGCAAGAGUGUUGCUUUUAUUAGCAAUGUUGUAAUACAGUUCUCCUAGAACCGCACCUGAUUGAACCCAUGCAACUUUGUUUUCUACAUCAAUGUCAACUGAUCGUAGAUUAACCAUAUCAACGAUAACAAACGGCACUUCAGAUACAUAAGAAAGACCUUCAAAAUCAUGGCCACCGCUUCGAGUUCUAAUUUGGAGCCCAUGUUUUCUUGAACAAUAAAUUGUUGCUUGAAUAUGGGAAGCAUGGAGCGGUGUUACAAUGACCAAAGGUUUAGGGGUAGAUGGUGUAGUGAAUCUAAAAUUUCGAACGGUAGCGUUCAAAACAGAAGAAUAGGAAGAAUUAUUUUGUGUGAAGACAACUUUAGAAAUGGAAGAGGAGUCGUUGGAUUGAAGAGAAAGGCAAUCAAGAAAAGUCUCAUCAGCCUGAGCUGAAGCUGCCCAUAACAAUAAGAAGAGAGCAACAUAAAGAAAUGAUGAAGACAUUGAAAAGUGAAGAGAUUUCAUAUUUUUGAAACUGAUGAUUUCGAAACUGAUGGUUUUGUGCAGAGUUUGUGAAGAGCUCCCCUAUUUAUAGAUUUACAUAACCUGAGGGGAUGCUUGGAGCCGCAAAAAUGCAUUGGAAUUGAAUUUUCUUCAAACGCGGAAUGAGUUUGGAAAGGGGAUGGCAGUCAAUAUAACAUGUUGAUCUAUAUGUCGUCACUUCCUUGGGAAAAUCUUCACCAUAAGCAAUGAUGGCAUUGGGGGCAUUUGACGCACUCAAACUAAAAUUGCCUGACUUUUAUAACCUGAUCAAAUUGGUAAAUGAAAAGAGUUUUCCCAUUGGGUUUUACGUAGUGAAAGCAUGUGAAUAGAAUCGAAUUUAGUGACUCUUUUCUUAGCUUUCUCGAUCAUCACAUAUAAAUAACUUUAAAAAAAAAAUUUCUCUCUUUCAAAGAGGAUAGUAAUUUAUUGACCUUUGCCAUCCUGAAAAACCAAUUUAUUCCAAUAAGAUGACGAUUAGGCCUAAAUUGUCAUUGAAAAAUCUACAUUCUACGGGAUUCCGUAUGGCAUGGAAAGGGUAAAAGCUCCAUGGGAACACACCCAAAGCAUUCUCACACAAUAAAAUGAUGUUUUAUUUCAUGCCAUAGUUUCUUUUACUUCUUGCACAAUCUUACAAAUCGAAAUCAAUUUAAAAUUCUCAAACUUAAGAAUUUGACAAAUAUGAGAAAAGGUCAUAUAAUUGUUAAUCUCGGUAGUGAAGCAAUCAAUGUGGAAAAACCGAUUCACUCAUUCGGUUUAGGAUUAUUGUUACAAGCGAAGUUAAAAUGUUUGCUAUAUGUCCAUUUAUUUUUCAUUUAAUGUUGACUAUUUUUUGAAACAGUUGAAUUGAUAUUAAAAAUAAUAUUUAGUAGAUUGUAAGUUGAAACGUGUAAUAUUCACUUAAAUUGAAUAAGUAUAAGGGUACGGAAAUUCAAGGAUAAAUUAGAAAUUUCAAAAAAAAAUUUCCCAUUUAAUUUAUUUCUUUUUAUCUCAUAAAUAUUAUGAUUUCAUUUUAUUUUAAAUAUAUUAUUAAUUGAAACAUGAAAAAAAAAUCUAAACACUUUAAAUGAAAAGGUUUUCAAACAUACUUAUAUAUAUAUAUAUAUAUAUAUAUAUAACAAAAAAAAGUAGUUUAAUGUUUAAAAUAUAAAUUAUCAAAUUAAGUUGAAAAAGUUCAAGAGAGAAAGGUGAUUGGAAUAUUUUUAUCUUAUCGUGGAUAAGCCAAAGGAGAAAAUUCUCAUAAGACAGAGACAAAGUCCCCCGUAUUAAUAUUUUCAUGAGGAGGUGGGUUGUUCCCAUGAAAGUCCCAUUGCUUGGACGAUGUGCUUGCUAUUAUUUUCAACCAUUUCUACAUUUCUUGUUUUUAAGGUAAAAGUUUGAGCCUACAACAUAAAAUCUCCGACUUUCAUGUAGAUUUCCUUUUGUUUUACUAUAUAUUUUGGCAAAAAUAAAAUUCAACAAUUACUGGCGGUCUAGAUUGGACAUAAUUCCGGGAACAAAAAUUAACUACGAGUACUUGUUAAUAUUGAAAAAUAUUUUUUGUUCUACAAGAAAAAAGAAAGUAAAAAUAUUAGUAAAAUUAAAAAUAAAAUGAAUUUUUUUUUUUCAAAAAAAAUUUUAAGAUUAUAUUUUUUUAACAUUAAUAUAUAUGUGACAGUAAAAUACUAAAACUAUGUUCACAAAUCUUUUAUAUCAUUAUUAAUAAUUUAUAUGUACUUAAUUUUGGAACCAAUGCACAAAAUCCUUCUCUUUUAAAAAUAAAUUUACUAUUGUGAACCAAAUUUGAAAUUUUCAUGUAUAAGACAAAACAUAAAUACGUAAAUAAAUAAUAAGUAAAAAAAAAGGGAGUUAAAAAAGAUAAAUUUUGACAUAUUGAGUUGAAAACCGCGUAUGGAUGUAGCUGGGAAUAAAUAUAACUUGAAGAUAAACCUUUUUUGUUUUGGCCAAAGAAAGACCUGAAGAUAGGCUUUAAUAAAAGUCUUAAUCUGAAAAUUCUAAAUGUGACUUUCUACUUGCUAUUUGAGGAAAUUAAUUUCACAUAUUACAAUUAUGUCCCUAUUCUUUCAGGCAAUUUCUGCUCUGUCUGGUGCAACAUUAUUUUCAUUUGACUUUAUUAAAUUCUUGACUUCAAUUAUUCUUGAAAAUGGUUGUAUUUUUAAAUUAAUUAAAACCAUAUCAUAUCAGGCAUGACUUAGUCUAUUGCAUGAGAAAGGUUUGAUUUUGACUAAAAAAACCUCUGGAUAAAUUUAAAGCAAACUCCUGUGGAAUGCCUUCAUUGACUUUUGUUCAUUUUUUUUCCUUUGAAGAAUAUGUAGAUGAAUAUCCAAAGACAGUGAACCAACUCCUUAAAUUACGUUCGAAAACUGGAAACUGAUCUUAGAUAUGAAGGAAAACCUGUAUCCCUCAAAUUUCUUUUUCUUUUCGGAUUUGUUUUAUUCCAUUUCUUCACCACGAAAACUCAAAUCAUUAGGAAAAAUCAAAACUGAAAAUACACAAAAGUUAUUUUAUUUUUAGAGGAAAUUUUCAUUUCCGACAUAAAAAUUUUAAUUUCUUCAAAUUUGUAACAAAAAAUUAUAUCAGUAAUAUUUCGAAAAAAAAGAAAAUUUUGACAAAAAUUUACCUUUUUAAAAAUAAUUUCUCAUCUCUAAAAGCUCGAUCUCUUCUAGUUUAAACAAAUAAAUUACGCUCUUAUUUAUUAGCUUUUUUUAAAUUAUAAUCACAAAUAGGGAUGACAACAUAUCACUAUUGGGAUGACAUUGUGUCACUAUUGGGGUGGGUAUGAAACUUUUCAUCGCCAUAUUUGAUUACGUUACUCCUAUUCAUUUCUAUUUCGAUAUUCACCAAAUAAUACCUUCGUGUAUUUGUCUUCAUACCCCAUUAGUAACGAGUAACCCAAAUUUCCCUCGAAUCAUCGAUUAUGGGAAGUUUGAUAUGUGCCAUUCAAAUUUUGCAAGUUAAAAUAAAAUAAUAAAAUUCAUGAAAAAAACUCAUGACAAAGUCCAACCAUAUGGAAAAAUAAAAAGUAAAAAGUAAAAAUAUUAAAAUAAUAAUACACCUAAAGCCUAACCUUAUUGAAAUUUUAAUAAAUUUAUUCGAAAACUCAUAUCUAUAAAAAUAAAUAUAUAAAUAAAAACAUAAUUUUUUUUUUGAAAUACUCUAAAAACCGCCCAUAAACAUAAAUAUAAAAUUCAUAAAAAAAUCACAUAUAACGAAACCAACUACAUCAUCCCACGUAAGGGAAGCAACACAAAGGGCAUUAGAUUUUUAUCUUUUGUAGGGUUUAGGGAUUUCUAGGACGAGUUUCGAACAGUCAAAGCAUAGGGAAAAGGUAAAGGAAUUUGAUGGUCAUAGGCAAUAGUGGCAACUUUUAGGUUUCGAUUUAAAAUGAUUUUUCGUGAAAAAAUGGAGAGUUUUUUUUUUUUUUCUUUUUAAAUAAAAUCAAAGGCAAUAAGAUUAUAAAAAAGGCUGAAAGGAGAAUUUGGAUAAAUUUUCGAUUUUGAGUUUUGAUCUAAGCUAUUUGAUAAAUUUUUUGAGAAAUCCAAUUUGAUAAGAAAAAGAUCAAGAGAAGAAAAAUGAAUUUUUUCUGGUGAAAAUGACAUUGACAAGUGGCGGUCGACAACGAAACAUAGUGGCUGAUAGUUAGAGUCAAGAGAGAAGAGGAUGCCGAAAAAGGAGUUAGAAAGGAGGGACAAGUAUAGAGAGCCAAGGAGAUGAAAGAAAAUGAGGUGAUUUUAUUUUUAGUUUUUAUACUUUGCCUAAACACCUAAACAAUCAGCUUAGGAUCACCAAAUGCAUUAUAAUUGAUAUUGGUCGUGUAUCGGGUUAGGCAACUUACGGAGCGGGACAAAUGACUCGUGGGGUGGGAUGUCAAGGCAAAAUAAAAGAAAACAUAAAUACUAGAUUGGAUAUAGCACUCCUUUGUAGAUGAAAGGAAUUAGAAUUGGUCGAAAUUAAUAGGAGAACAUUCAAGCCCAAAGUAUCGUACACUUUAAGCAAGGAGGCUCGAAAGGCAGUGUGUGCUUAGGUGAAAUAAUUAAGAUUUCUAGCUGGGUUUGCGUCAAACAUAGCUUAGUGUUCUAACAUUGAUGAAGGCAAGUUUCAUGUGAUGAAAAGUUAUGAUUAUCCUAUUUUUAUGCAAUGGCUGUUUCCAAUUGUCUUUCAUGGCUUGUUGCCUAUUUCAAUUUGAAAUGCAAUAAUCAAGCUAUCUUAUUUCUUUAAACAUAUUUGCUAAACUAAAUUACAUGUACAUCAUAUGAAGAUAAAGAGGAAAAUGAAGAUUAUUAACAUGAAAUUAUUGAUUAUGAAUAGUGGUUAAUUUAUGUGUAUUUAACUUUACUACUUGUCACUUUGCUUGAGAUAUAAUACAAUAUGUUAUAUUUUUGUUUUUAGAUAUCAAUGUAUUCAUAUAUUCUUGAUAUAUGUUGCUGAAUUAUGUUGUUCCUGCUUAAAUAUGUUGUUGACUAUAUUGGUAUAUUUAUAGUUAUAAUGCUUAAACGAAAGGCUUCUAACAAAUCCAAAGUUAGAUAUGGAUUUACAUCUAUAUAGAGGGCAUUAUUCCCAAAUCUUAAUCAUCUAACACUCCAUCAGUACACCUUCGAUUUAAAAAAUACCAAGUGGUCGAGCCUCCACCCAUAAACCAUCCAGCAACAAAGAACAUAUACUCUGAGUCUUCUACCAUCGAGACUCCACCUACAUAUCACUCUAUACAAAAUAUCCCAACUGUCGAUCAGCAAUUCUCCAACCUUGUUGAUGGUGUUCAAGCCACUUUAUGUGAGUCGACCCUGCGAAAACAUACAAGACGACCUAAUGAAUGUUUACCCACACCUCUAAAUAUAGCAGACAAAGUGCCAAUUAUUUGUUUGCAAAACAAGUUAGGUGUUAAUAAAUUGUUUACUUUAUUUAUUUAUUCAUUUGAAUAGCAAUAUUAUUAACAUUAAGUUGAUAACUAUUUUAUUAAUAACUUAUAUACAGUACUUUUUGAAACCCACAAUCGUCUGAACGAUAAAGAAAUUGAUUAAAGAUUACUACAAUAAGGCAUGGCUGAUAUGAAGGAAAGUUUCCUUGAAUGUGAAGAUGAGCAUGUGAGAUAAAUUCCAAGUAUUUUUUACUAUUUUAAUACUUUCAUUUAAAUAUGUUAUUAACAAUUUUUAUUUACUUUUAGGAAAAUGCAUACAGUCUCCAAAAUAUACACAGCUAGUUUAUGACAUAUGGCAAGCAACAUGUAAAACACUGUUUAAAGAGAAUCUAAAAGGAAAAAGGUAAUUCAAUCCAUGAGUAGUUCUGAAGUUCGGGAUGAGCUUGGUGAAAAAGAGUGGAGUAAAUAAGCAUGAUAACAUCGGUCUGAUAAAGCAAGAAAGUAUCGACUAACAAAGAAAAAAGGCAGUAUCAUAAAGCACAUAGGUGGUUCAGCACAUUUUUCAGGUUUAUGCGCACAAAUUGAUAAUACCUUUUAAAUUGUUAUAUUUUAUAAUGUUUAAUUCUAUGAUUUUUUUUUUAUUAUUUAUAAACUGUGACUUGUAUUUUUAACCAUAGGCAUAGGAGCUUUAAUGAUCGCUUGUUUUUUUAACCAAACGUAGGCAUAGGAGCUUUAAUGAUCGCUUACAUAUAAGGAACUUUAUGAUCAUUCCCACACACGUUUAGCAGGACACACUGAUUUUAUGGACAACGAGUCCAAAGCUGUUAGUGUAACAGAAAAUUGCUUUAUGUAUGCUUCAUUUUAAUAUUUUCAUCAUUACUACAAUUUUCUUAUUAUGCUUUAUUUUAAGUAAUGUGAAUCAUGCAUUUGUAGGAAAACUAUGCUUCUUCCAUGAAUUAGAAGUAUGGUGAGGACACAACUGCUCAUCCCAAGUUCAGUCCACAGGCCCAGUGCAAAGUAAUUGGAGGGUUGAAAACCACCCGCACCCAUGUCUAUGAAUUUGGACAAGGCCAUGUUCAACGAAAUUAUUUGGCACACCCUCAUCCUCAUAUGGUAGCUCAUCUCACUAAGCUUGUGAGCUUACAAACUUCAUUUCCAAUGUUAGUUCAUUUGUCGAAGUUGAUGAUCUAAAAGGGAAGAUGAUAGAUAUGUAAGACCAACUCAAGGAAAUGAAUCGGUUACAACAUGAAAUAAAUAUGGUUUUGCUUAGUUAAAUGUCCAAAGGUGGUUCGUUUCCUACAUCUGGAUAUUCUUGACACAGUGGCGAAGGACAGCAAGAACCAGAAGGAAGUGCUCAGUGAGAGAUUGAUUCUUUCAUUAUUUGUUUUCUAUUGCAUGCAUAUGAUGAUGAAGUAAGGAUGAAUCUUUUUCUUUAUGGACAUUUGUGUUAUGUUUAAGAAUGAUUAUGUUUGUUUAUGAUUGAUUAUGGAUGUUUGUGAAUGUUUACAAAUCUAUUACAUAGAAAUGACGUGAAUGUUUAAUUGUGUGGUAUUAAAUAGUUGUAUUAUGAUUUAUAUAAAUAAUUUUUAUAUGAUUUGUAAUUAGGAAAAAGGAUUAAUUGUGAAAAAGAUCUAUCCUUUUGAGGGAUGAUCGAUCUUCUAUGAAUAGAGAUCAAUCUUCAGUCAUAAGGGACCUAUCCAUGAAAUUCCAAAGGCAAAUUAUUUAGGUAUAAUUAGACACGGAAUAGUGUGUAUAAGCAAUGGAAAUUUCAUUGCCAAUAAAUUUUAGCGACAAAAAACCCAAUGAAAUCAAUCUUCAUUCAUUGAAAAUGAAUCCUAGAAAAUACCUUUUAGUGAUGGAAAUUUUCAUCACCAAUAAGUUUUUAAAACAGAGGAUCAAAUCUUGAAAACCUAGAAAAAACCUUUUAGUGAUGGAAAUUUUCAUCGCCAAGAAGUUUUAACAACAGAGGAUCAAUCUUGAAAACCCAGAAAAUACAUUUUAGCGACGGAAAUUUCAUCAGUAAAGAUCUCUAGUGAUGGAAUUAUAAAACCAUUACCAACAACAAAUUUUGUCGCUAAUAGUUAAAGCAAUGGAAUCACAAAUUUUUUAAAAGAUUUAGGAAAAAUAAAUUUUAGUGACGAAAUAUUCUGUCACUAAAAGUUUUUUGAUAGAAUUAUAAAUUUUAUUUUUGCAAAACAAAUAAAACCAUAAUUAUUUUUUGCAACUAUUAGCAAAAGAAAAACAAUCUUUGAUAGUUCAGUUAUUUUUAUGGAAAAAGUAUUGGCAAUGGAAGACUGUCACGGACUUUACACUUUCUGAUGAACUAUUAUAGACAAAAAUUCCGUUGCCAAAACGUUUUACGAGUUAAAAAUAGACUAAUAGUGACGAAAAUUUUUGUUGCCAAUACUCUUAUUUCUUUUAAUAAAAUAAAUAGGUUAUCCAUACUCGUACUUGUAAUUAUGGUAAGAUUAAAAAUAAUUGUAACAAUAGGAUUAGUUACUACAACGAUGAUAUUGAGUACUGUAGCGUUAAAUUAAAAUUAGUGAUAAAAUAUGGGUUUAGAUGCAAAAGCAGUGGUGAGAGUAAAAUAAAUAAUAUUAAAAAAAAUGACUAUUAAAAAUAUUAAGUUAAAGUUUGUGUAUAAUGAAAAUUUUAAAUUAUUUGUCAUUUAUGAAGUUAAUAAAAAAUUAAACAUUACAAUAUUAUUUUUAUAUUAAAUAAUAUUUUUGUUAAAAAAUUGAUAAUAAUAUAUUUACACGAAUUAAAACUUAACAAAUUUAUUUUUCGUAUUUAUUUAAUAAAUUAAAACUAAACAUAUAAAAAAUAAAAAUAAAUAAUUUUAAAGUAACUAAAAAAAUUUAAGAAAAAAAUGAAAAUUUUGGGUAUUAUGAUCAAUAAAUCUAGUAUAGUAGCUCAUUGAACCUUUUUCCUAUGUCCAAAUGAAGUCUUAAUAUAAAUUAAAAAAAAGGGUAAUUCAAAUAUAAUUUAUGAUCAAACACAGUCAAAGCAACAUUAGGCCUUACUAGUCAGUAAUUAACAACUUUUUAAUGAGUAGAAAAAUUAAAUGCUACAAAAAAAAUCACAUUUAUUUAUUGUUUAUUAGUAUUAUUUAAUAAUAUAAAGUAAAAAGAUAAAAUUUAACUUAUUAAACCAAAAAGGAAAGCCCGCCUAUAGCAAUGGGUGAAGUCGUUCAAGAAAAUGUUGAUAAAAUCAAAACUUAAAAAUUAGACAUUCAAAGGCGAUUUAUCAGCUGACUAUUUGGCCAAAUAUAAGUCAACAUAUAUAAUUAUUUCCUAAUUCUUUCACACUAAAUCUACUCCAAUAUUAAUGUAGGGUGAUUAUCUCUAAAACAAGAAAUUUUAAUUAAUUAAAUUCUUGACUUCAAUUCCUCUUGAAAAUGUCUGUUUCAAGUUAGAAAAAUAUCAAUAUAGAAACCAGAAGUUUUAAUUGUGGGAUAGGAGGGGUGGGGUUCAUAAGAUGGAAGAGUAAUAUUAUAACUUGCCUAUUAUUGUGUAGCCUAAAAUUCAAUGAAUUUUUUUUUAUCAUAAAAAAUCCUAUGAAAUCUUACGUACGUACCAAAAGAAGAACAUUUAUUUUUAUGUUACACAUUAUAUUAUUAAUUUUCAUACAAAUUUGAGGAGACAAAUUCAAUAAAUAUAUAUGAUCUACAACUAAUUAGAAAGCAAAGGUAAUUAGUACAUUUAUUUAAAUAAUCAUACAACAAAUCAGGCCCAAAUGCUUACAAAAGAAUUCUUUAUUUUGUUUACACAAUUUCCAAUCAAAUAUUUCUAUAAAAGGUUUAACGCCCAAAGGUUAUUUUGAUUUUUUUUAGUUAGUGAAAAAAAGGAGGAAUACUUUGCUCAUGCCUGAAGAAAUUCUGUGGAUCAACAUCGGCCUUCACACGAACUAACCUGCCAAAGUUGUUCAAGAAAUACUUACGACCCCAUACGCUAGCCUGAGCGAAACUUGUGUUUCCUUCAUUAUUCAUUCCGAUGUCAAGAUCCCUAUAAUUGAUAUAGGCUUGCCUUGGAGAUUUUGAAACAAAGGAACCCAUGUAACUAUAAAGUCUCCGAAUCCAGCUUAUAUACCUUUCAGAUAUUAUAUUCUCUUCUUCUUGCCAUCCUGCGUUGUAUACGAUUUUGUAUAAGUUGCCAACUCUAUGUGGGAAUGGAGUAGCAGUCGAUGGAAUUUCAUCCAUUAUGCCUCCGUAAGCAAUAAAACUUAUACUAGCGGAUGCUCCUUCUUCUUCAAAAAGUCUUGACCACAUCCCCUGAAAUCCAAUUUCAGGAAUGGGUUUCUUCACAUAAUCAGAUUUUGAUUUGAAGGAAGGACUAAGAAGAGGACUUUGGUAUGUCCUAUCAAGCAAAAUAUUCAAGGUUUCGUUUGGAAGGUUGCCCAUGUAGAGAAUAGAUUCAAUCCAACUCAUUUCAACGCAGUCUUCCCUCACUAGUCCCAGCUCAGGAAAUCUCUCUUGCAUCAAUGGAACCAGCUCAUCAAUCCCACCAAGAAACGAG